GGCGGCGUAGCUUAGUUGGCUAGAGCGUCCGGUUCAUACCCGGAAGGCCGGUGGUUCGAGUCCACUCGCCGCUACCA
rnacentral:tRNA from 1 species